CCCUUAGAUGUUCUGGGCUGCACGCGCGCUACACUGAAGGACUCAACGUGCUUGUCUCCUUGGCCGUCAGGUCUGGGUAACCCGUUGAACCUCCUUCGUGCUAGGGAUUGGGGCUUGUAAUUAUUCCCCAUGAACGAGGAAUUCCCAGUAAGCGCGAGUCAUCAUCUCGCGUUGAUUACGUCCCUGCCCUUUGUACACACCGCCCGUCGCACCUACCGAUUGAAUGGUCCGGUGAAGCCUCCGGAUUGGCGCGCACCUCGGUGCCGCCGAGAAGUUGGCUAAACCUUACCAUUUAGAGGAAGGUGAAGUCGUAACA
rnacentral:rRNA from 1 species